AGGAAUUUCUAGACUGAAUCGAGUGGACCGUCUGCGUGGUUGUUGAAAGUUGACUGAGUUUAGCAAAAAAAUGAAUCAAGGCAUCAAGAGAAAGAGAGAAAUCUCAGAGAUCACUGUGGGCUGACGGUGAAGAAUGCUGCAAACUGACUGAUUUGCUUUUAAAAUCAAGUGCAGCGUCAGUUAGCACUAGCGCUAAUACUGCUAGCAUUGAUGAGCCAGCACAGCAGGGAGAAAGACAGGACAGUGAGGAAUAUGAGCAAGAGGAGGAUGAGGAGGUAGACAUGGAUAACUGCGUGACGAUCGACUUGAUCAAAUGCCAUAUCACAAGAGUUGGCACCAACUCUAUCCGUGACAGCAACCAUGAAGUAACCACCAUUGUGGGAACAGACAAAACGGACGCCAUUAAGAUUCAGGAAACCUCCACACAGGCACUAUCUGCUUUGCCCAGUGUGUCUUAAAACACAAGAAAGUCUGUCAUGCCAUCUGCUCAGAGUCUGCAAGAAAACCUCCAGCCGAGCAGAUAUUGAAGCCCUGGUUGAAAAGGCCAAGAAAGAUGUUUUGGACCUGCUUCAGAAUGGCAGGGCCUUUAGUUAUGCAGUCCUUACACAAAUUAUGGCUGAUACGAAUCCACUCAAGAGCUUGAUUGAGGAGUUAAACCGUCACCACUUGAUCGUCACCGGAUCCCCGCCCCCUCUGCCCACUGAAGCUGGCCCAUCCACCACACAGCCACCAGAGACUGGAGACCAGGGAGAGCCGUCGGGAGAGUGUGAGCCGUCUGACGCUGCAUCUGUCAGCAGUGGCGAGUUAUUUCAAUGUGACCAAGAUGUAAAUUACUCCAACAAGGUCAGGCAGAAAAUGUCAGAGAAGGGCCUGUAUAACAAGCACGACGUGAGCGAUCCACUGCUGAAUGACUUUGCCAAAUACUUGCAGACAGAGCUCCUCAAAGUUUCAAACAGGAGGUUGAAAAUGUUGCACAGUACCUCCAUUAUGCAGACUCAAAGGCACCAUCCCUUCAGUUUGUCAAUGACAGAGAGAAGCUCCAAGAGUACCUGCAUGCCCUCUCUGAGGCAAAAUUGA
rnacentral:lncRNA from 1 species